CCCUUAGAUGUUCUGGGCCGCACGCGUGCUACACUGAUGCAUUCAACGAGUCUAAAACCUGGUCUGAUAGGGCUGGGUAAUCUUUUGAAAGUGCAUCGUGAUUGGGAUAGAUGAUUGCAAUUCUUCAUCCUCAACGAGGAAUGCCUAGUAAACGCAAGUCAUCAGCUUGCAUUGAUUACGUCCCUGCCCUUUGUACACACCGCCCGUCGCUCCUACCGAUUGAAUGAUCCGAUGAAUACCAUGGAUUGAGAGUACGAAUAGGUUCGCUUAUUUCUGCUGCUCGAGAAGUGGAGUAAAUCUUAUCAUUUAGAGGAAGGAGAAGUCGUAACA
rnacentral:rRNA from 1 species